CCUACGGGAGGCAGCAGUAAGGAAUAUUGGUCAAUGGACGCAAGUCUGAACCAGCCAUGCCGCGUGAAGGAUUAAGGCCCUCUGGGUUGUAAACUUCUUUUAUAGGGGACGAAAAAAGGGCAUUCUUGCUCACUUGACGGUACCCUAGGAAUAAGCACCGGCUAACUCCGUGCCAGCAGCCGCGGUAAUACGGAGGGUGCAAGCGUUAUCCGGAUUUACUGGGUUUAAAGGGUGCGUAGGUGGGUUGGUAAGUCAGUGGUGAAAUCCUCGAGCUUAACUCGGAAACUGCCAUUGAUACUAUCAAUCUUGAAUCAUCUAGAGGUAAGCGGAAUAUGUCAUGUAGCGGUGAAAUGCUUAGAUAUGACAUAGAACACCAAUUGCGAAGGCAGCUUACUAUGGAUGUAUUGACACUGAGGCACGAAAGCGUGGGGAUCAAACAGGAUUAGAUACCCUGGUAGUCCACGCCCUAAACGAUGGAUACUCGACAUUUGUGAUAUACUAUAAGUGUCUGAGCGAAAGCAUUAAGUAUCCACCUGGGAAGUAACGACCGCAAGGUUGAAACUUCAAAGAGUUAUUGCGNGNGAGAGCGACGAGACGACGAGAGGAGGAG
rnacentral:rRNA from 1 species